UGGGAGACAAGAUUCAUACACAGAGACAAAAGAUGCGACAUGAUAUAGAUAUUUUUUUCUUUUCAAAAUAAGUGACAUUAUACUUGAAAAUCAGUAGGAUAGUCUUUAGGAUAUUUGUGUAUUGCAUCUCUAAUACAUCUCUCUUGUUCUUGGAGAUUAGGUGUCAUUUUUUCAUACACAUCACUAAACAAUUCUGUCAAUGCAGGCUUCUCCAUUCCUUCUGCUGUUUUAAUUGCCUCUAAUACCUGGUUCUUGACAUGUGUGUAGAGUUCAGAUUCUUGAACGUCACUCCACCAACCAUUUCUUUGAAUAUGUUUUCUGAAUAGGUUAAUGGGGCAUCUGGCCGUUUUCCAGUAUUCUAUUUCAUUUGUUGGACGAUACUUUGUGGAAUCAUCAGAAGUCGAAUGGUGUCCUACUCGAUACGUCAUUGCCUCAACUAGUAUCGGUCUUUCCUCACUAAU
rnacentral:misc_RNA from 1 species